CUGGAUACCUGCCGACUUUAAAUGAAGAUGAGGAAUGGAAGUGUGACCAGGACAUGGACGAGGACGAUGGCAGAGACGCUGCUCCUCCCGGAAGACUCCCUCAGAAGCUGCUCCUGGAGACAGCUGCCCCGAGGGUCUCCUCCAGUAGACGGUACAGCGAAGGCAGAGAGUUCAGGUAUGGAUCCUGGCGGGAGCCAGUCAACCCCUAUUAUGUCAAUGCCGGGUAUGCCCUGGCCCCAGCCACCAGCGCCAACGACAGCGAGCAACAGAGCCUGUCCAGCGAUGCAGACACCCUGUCCCUCCCGGACAGCAGCGUGGAUGGGAUCCCCCCAUACAGGAUCCGUAAACAGCGCCGCAGGGAGAUGCAGGAGAGCGUGCAGGUCAACGGGCGGGUGCCCCUGCCUCACAUUCCUCGCACGUACCGGGUGCCAAAGGAGGUCCGCGUGGAGCCUCAGAAGUUCGCGGAGGAGCUCAUCCACCGCCUGGAGGCUGUGCAGCGCACGCGGGAGGCCGAGGAGAAGCUAGAGGAGCGGUUGAAGCGCGUGCGCAUGGAGGAGGAAGGUGAGGACGGCGAUCCAUCCUCAGGGCCCCCGGGGCCGUGUCACAAGCUGCCUCCCGCCCCCGCUUGGCACCACUUCCCGCCCCGCUGUGUGGACGUGGGCUGUGCUGGGCUCCGGGAUGCACACGAGGAGAACCCUGAGAGCAUCCUGGACGAGCACGUGCAGCGUGUGCUGAGGACACCUGGCCGCCAGUCACCUGGGCCUGGCCACCGCUCCCCGGACAGUGGGCACGUGGCCAAGAUGCCAGUGGCACUGGGGGGUGCCGCCUCGGGGCACGGGAAGCACGCACCCAAGUCAGGGGUGAAGCUGGACGCGGCCGGCCUGCACCACCACCGACACGUCCACCACCACGUCCACCACAGCACAGGCCGGCCCAAGGAGCAGGUGGAGGCCGAGGCCACCCGCAGGGCCCAGAGCAGCUUCGCCUGGGGCCCGGAACCACACAGCCAUGGGGCAAAGUCCCGAGGCUACUCAGAGAGUGUGGGCGCUGCCCCCAACGCCAGUGAUGGCCUGGCCCACAGUGGGAAGGCGGGCGUGGCAUGCAAAAGAAAUGCCAAGAAGGCUGAGUCGGGGAAGAGCGCUAGCACCGAGGUGCCAGGCGCCUCGGAAGACGUGGAGAAGAACCAGAAAAUCAUGCAGUGGAUCAUUGAGGGGGAGAAAGAGAUCAGCAGGCACCGCAGGACCGGCCACGGGUCUUCAGGGACGAGGAAGCCACAGCCCCAUGAGAACUCCAGACCCUUGUCCCUUGAGCGCCCCGGGGCCGUGCACCCCUGGGCCGGCCCUCAGCUCCGGACCUCCGUGCAGCCCUCCCACCUCUUCAUCCAAGACCCCACGAUGCCACCCCACCCAGCUCCCAACCCCCUAACCCAGCUGGAGGAGGCGCGCCGACGUCUAGAGGAAGAAGAAAAGAGAGCCAGCCGGGCACCCUCCAAGCAGAGGUACGGCCGCAUCGUGGGGUGGGGUGGGGUGGGUCUUGGGGGUUACCACAGCACCACUCCUGGGGCUGAAGCUCCCCAAGGCCUGAGGUCUUCAGGGGAAAAACGGCCCUCUGGGUGUCCCCCAGCCAUACUGGGCCCUUCCUUCCACUGAGAACCACUGAGGGGCCAUGUGGCAGGCGACCGUGCGGUGGACGGAGGGCUGGGGCUUUUACACACCCGAGGCCGCUGUGCUCAUUGCUCUGGAGGAGGGAAUCCCUCCUCAACCUGAGCUGAGUUUGCAGGGAGGCUGCAGGGCCCCAGUGUGUGAGGAACGCUGGUCCCCAGCCACAGGCUGCUGACUGCUGGGCAGCCUGGGCUUUGAGGCAGGGGUCCUGGAGGCAUGGCGGCUGCCUCUUGAUAAUCGCAUCCCAGGAGCCCGGAGUGGCUCUGCACAGUUGGAAAGCUACGUGGUUCUGAAACCGGUGCAGAUGUAGAACUGUCGUCCCGGAUGUCCAGCCCACAGCCCUCCUCACUGCGCCCUCCUGUCAUCCGGGCCCCAUAGCCAGACCCUGUUCUCUCCCCAGGGCAGGGAGGCUUCUGUCUGGGCUGCAGGGAGGCCUCCCCUUUGUGUGGGCAGCAUUUUCGCUUCGGGCCAGAACCUGGCUUCUCCAUUUUCAGCUUGCUCAUGAGGCCAGUUUUCUCGGCCAUCCUGGGUCAUUGGAAUUUCCAACAGAUCCGCGUCUCUGUGAGGGUCCUGGGAGCCUAUAGCUCACCCAGGCCCUGGGGCUGUGGUCAGAGAGGCCGUGGUUGCCUUCAGAGGUCACCAGCUCCUCCUGUCCACCUUGGGUCACCUGGGGCCUGGGGUCCAGGCCCGCCUCCCGGACCUCCAGCUUUGGGGCUGUGCCACUCCAGGGAGGCUGGGGCUGGGGGCCUUAUUCUGCCGAACCGGCAUCAGGGUUUACACCCUUCCCAGCUGAAAGCCUGUGUCUUCUCAAGUCAUUAAAGGUUCCUGAGCUUCUGCCAGGCUGUGAGCCUAAUGACAGCUCUGGGGCCAGAAAGGGUCACAGUUCCCUCAAAUCCCAAGGGUGACCACUUUAUGGCCAAACAUCUGUGACCCUGUGAUCGUGUUCGGCCAACAAGGAGCCAGAGCCCCCUGCCAUGCAGGAGCCUGGUGUGUGGUGCUUGGAGCCGGGGCGUGUGACCGGGCUGUGGUGUGUGGUGCUCGGAGCCGGGGCGUGUGACCAGGCUGGCAGAUGAGCCAUGGGCGGGCGUCGUGUGCAGCAGGUUCGAGGCCCUGGGCCUGUGUGGGCUCUCCUGCCGGGGUUUCCUGAGCCCAUCCUUGCUGGGCUGAGCAGGGGUCUGUCAGGUUGCGUCUGCCCUUUCCCCUGGUACCCACAGGCCCCACAUGAUGGCAGGGGAUGCCUGCUGAGCCGUGGGACCACUCCCGCCGUUCUGAGACACGACCCUCCCGCCCCUGUUUUGCUGCUGGGCUCCAGCAUCCCCACAUGGGGAAACCCGGAGUUGCUGGGUUUGUCCAUCCAGGGAUGUGGGUUUUUGCGAGAAGCUGUGGAGACAGAGUGAAGGCCCAGAGGCAGGUUGGGUGCUGGGUGCUGGGCCCUGUCAGGAUGUCAGAGUAGAAACCACUAUCAAGGUCGCCCUGUGCACCCCGGUGGAGGUGUCCACGUGAGAGGAGCUGCCGUGCUGCCCCAGGAUGGCCUCAGUUGUGGCGCUGGGGGGCCCUCUGCCUCCCUGAGGUGCAGACCGAGUUGCCACACCCCAGAGCCAGUGUCCACGCCAUCGGUGGGGAAUUCAUGCCAAGAAACCGAAGGACAGGCUCUCGGGAGGAGAUGUCGUCCCACCAGAGGGGAUGAUGUGGUGGGAUCCCAGCACCCCUGAUCAGAAGCUCCCCAAAGUACGGUCCAGGGAACUCGGGGGGUCGGUGCCCAGAUCAUGAGUGGGGGGUGCGCUGCAGUAUCGGGCACCACUGAGGCAGGCCUAGGAGGGGAUUCGGUGUCUUGUCCACCCUGCAAGCUGGAGCCUUCGCUGGGCGAGUUGUUCGGGCCCUUCACGCUCCGUCCGUCCCUGCGCAGCAGCAUUGGUCGAGGCUCCCUCCCCAGGGCUGGUGGCCGCCGGCGCAGCCACCUUUGACGCGGGUUGUUCCCUAGGUAUGUGCAGGAGGUUAUGCGGCGGGGACGCGCCUGCGUCAGGCCAGCGUGCGCGCCAGUGCUGCGCGUGGUACCAGCCGUGUCGGACAUGGAGCUCUCCGAGACAGAGUACGUGCGUCCUGAGGGUCCUCCCGGUCCUGCCCACCCCAGCCCGGGCGUCCCAAGCCAGGUCCCGUCGUAGAGCCGCCGUCCUGGGGCUUGAGCUCGGGUACCACGCUCAGAAGCAGCUGUGGCAGGAGAGGGUCCCAUGGCAUCAGAGUCCAAGCUGCCCGAGAGCCUUCUCCUGUCUCCAUCAGAGGAGACGCUGACUGUCUAGCAUGAUGACAAGUGACCAAAAAGCCCAGCUGGAGGCCUGGGCACAGCCAGCCCCUGCAUCCACACAGGUGUCACGGCCAGGCCCCCUGUGGGGCAGAGACCUGCCCCCGCCCCCACCCGGCUUGGAACUGGCCGGUCCCUGCCAGGCCUGACUUGAGCAGGCUCGGGGCUGCGGGUGCUGAGGUGCCCGGGGUGCGUCUGCUUGCAGUGUGGGUCUCAACCAUGCGCGUCUGUCCAGCUCGUGUAGUCAGUGAGUUGGGGCUCUGCUCCCACCUACAACGCUGAGCGCUCCGAGCCCGUGAGAAAGGCUUGCUGUGUCCACACCGUGUGAUCCCACAUGGGCCGUGUCGACGGCGCCUCUGUGUGCUCAAGGUGGCGGGGGGGGCGCACCCCAAAAGGGGCCUUGAGAACAGGGGUCCCCCAGGCCUUGCCAGGCUUGCCCCAGAUGCAGGUUUGUUGUGGCCCGCAUCCUCUAGGCGGUCUUGGGGCGGCCUUCACCCAUCCCUGGGGCAGCCCCCACGUGUUGGCUCUUCUCCGAUGGGCCUGGCUCCAGGAGGCUGCGAGGAUGUGGCACUGGGAGGAAGUCUAAUAGCGCAGGUGGCUGGGGGUCUGGUGUGCAAAGAGGACGGUCACAUGGCUCAGGUGGCCAUGAGGCCUUCCUGCCGUGGUGUUGGCUCUGGAAGCCUCUGGUGCACCCAGCGAGGAGGAGGCCCAAGGGCUGAACCCCAGUGGGCCAGGGGCAGCUUCUGGUCACUUGAAGGACGGGUGGCGGCGGGGGAGCCGAGCGGUGGGGGGUGCGAGAGCAACCAGGCCCCGCCGGUCAUCCCAGCACGGCUGUGGAAGCACAGCACCGGUAAGAGGAGGGCCCGGCUCAGCCUGGGCAGGAGACGGUGCCAGCCUCGCCCCCUCUGAAGGGCCUGCUGGCCGCCCCCACACCAGUCCUCUGACAAACUUCGGUGCGGGGUCAGGCUCAUCCAGAAAUCGUGCACAGUUCUGUUUGUCCAAUCCCUGCCCUUCAGAUGUUUUUAAGGUUUGGGGGCCGUAGGUCUUCCUGAGAUAGGAGCCGUGCAGCCUGCCCUGCCGUCCUAGAGGUGGGAGCUGCAGUGCGCCUGGCAGCCAGGCCCUGGCCAGUCGAGGGUGGGGCUGCGAGGCAGCGGGGAGACCUUCGUGCUCCCAGUGAGCGGAGUCAGACUCCACUGCUAGUGGACUAGACCCCAGAUUGAGAUGCUGUCGGGGGGCAGCGGGGCCUGGGGUCCCAGGUGUUUGAAUGGGGUGCCGCUCACCCCUGCAGGCCUGCCCCGCCUUUUACUGGCAGCCUGAGGCCAGCAGGAGGCACCCUGUGGGACCUCAGUCCAAAACCAGGGACCACUGCAGCAUCUCUUUCCCCAGGACAAGAUCACAGCGGAAGGUGAGCGGCGGGAGUGCCCAGCCGUGUGACAGCAUCGUUGUAGCGUACUACUUCUGCGGGGAACCCAUCCCCUACCGCACCCUGGUGAGGGGCCGCGCUGUCACCCUGGGCCAGUUCAAGGAGCUGCUGACCAAAAAGGGAAGCUACAGAUACUACUUCAAGAAAGUGAGCGACGAGUUUGACUGUGGGGUGGUGUUUGAGGAGGUUCGAGAGGACGAGGCCAUCCUGCCCGUCUUUGAGGAGAAGAUCAUCGGCAAAGUGGAGAAGGUGGACUGACCAGCAGGUGGGCUGGCUGCUGUAACCAGGCGAGGCCCUCGGCGGGCACAGGUGUCACAGCCAGGCAGAUGACCUCGUACUCAGGAGCCCGACGGGGAACAGUGUUGGGUGUACCACCCAUCCCUGCAGUCUACCCGUGUCUAGGUGGGUAGGGGUCCCUCCAAGUGGUCCACAAGCUUCUGUCCUGCCCCCAAGGAGGCAGCCUGGACCACCCCCCAUAGCAAUACUUGGAGGGCCCAGCCCAAGUGGGGCAGCCGGGGUCCCUGCUGCCAGCUUCAGGUGACCCCCCCGCCCCCCGGCACCUCCCUUGGGCACAUGUGCUGGGAUCUACUUUCCCUCUGGGAUUUGCCCACGUACCCUGGUCUGGCUGGGGCCCAGGCCCGGUUGCAGAGGCCUGCAGGGCCUCUGUCAAUUGUACGCGCCACCGAGUGCCUUCAACACAGCUUGUCUCUUGCCUGCCACUGUGUGAAUCGGCGAUGGAGCACUGCACCUGCCUCCAGCCGCUGGCUGUGUGGUCCCGGGUCCUCCUUUCUGAGGGCCCGUGUAAAUAUGUACAUUUCUCAGGCCAGGGCCAGCAGGGGCUGCCCGAGUCUGUUUUUCAUGCGAUGACACUUGUACAAUUAUCUUUUCAAAGGUACUUGGAUAAUAAUGAAAUAAAACUGUUUUUGAACCUGC
rnacentral:sRNA from 1 species